GACGAACGCUGGCGGCGUGCUUAACACAUGCAAGUCGAACGAAGAGCGAUGGAAGCUUGCUUCUAUCAAUCUUAGUGGCGAACGGGUGAGUAACGCGUAAUCAACCUGCCCUUCAGAGGGGGACAACAGUUGGAAACGACUGCUAAUACCGCAUACGAUCUAAUCUCGGCAUCGAGGAAAGAUGAAAGGUGGCCUCUAUUUAUAAGCUAUCACUGAAGGAGGGGAUUGCGUCUGAUUAGCUAGUUGGAGGGGUAACGGCCCACCAAGGCGAUGAUCAGUAGCCGGUCUGAGAGGAUGAAUGGCCACAUUGGGACUGAGACACGGCCCAGACUCCUACGGGAGGCAGCAGUGGGGAAUCUUCCGCAAUGGACGAAAGUCUGACGGAGCAACGCCGCGUGAGUGAUGACGGCCGUCGGGUUGUAAAGCUCUGUUAAUCGGGACGAAAGGCCUUCUUGCGAACAGUUAGAAGGAUUGACGGUACCGGAAUAGAAAGCCACGGCUAACUACGUG
rnacentral:rRNA from 1 species